rnacentral:rRNA from 1 species
UACAGAGGGGGCGAGCGUUAAUCGGAAUUACUGGGCGUAAAGCGCGCGUAGGCGGCUUUGCAAGUCGGGUGUGAAAUCCCCAGGCUUAACCUGGGAACUGCACUCGAGACUGCAUUGCUAGAGUAUGGGAGAGGGAAGUGGAAUUUCCGGUGUAGCGGUGAAAUGCGUAGAUAUCGGAAGGAACAUCAGUGGCGAAAGCGACUUCCUGGACCAAUACUGACGCUCAUGUGCGAAAGCGUGGGGAGCAAACAGG